rnacentral:lncRNA from 1 species
CUCUUCAAAUCAACUUCACUAAUACACUCAAGAGCACCAAAGGAAGGAAUUUCAUGGAGUAGAUUCUAGUUUAAGGACUUGAGUUGGGUGAUUUGAGCUUGUUGGAAGCUUAAACUUGGAAGAGUUUUUCUUUCUUCUUUGAUGAGAGGUUCGGCCAACACAAGGGAAGAAAAUGGUGAAUUUUGUGAAUUUUUGGAGAUAUUUAACCAAUUUUGGUCAAAGGUCAAAAUAGUGAAUAGUAACUCUUAAAGUCAAACCAAUGGAAAAUUGACACUUGGCACUCUAAUAAAUGCAUUCCUAUCCUUUCUUUUCUCUCUCACAUCAAUCAAAUCUCACUCUCUACUUAUCUCGUAACAUCCGAUAACUUUUCCACAGUAUCCGAAACUUAACCGUAUUGGCCGAAUUUUCCCGAACUUUUCGCACUCGUGGGUCCCACGUCCAAUAUAUAUUCUUAAUUUUCUAAAAACUAUCCAAUACGAGAAAACUCAUCUUAAAACUAUAAUUACUCAUAAAAUUCACCAGGAAACUAUUCCUAAGCCAGAAAAUGCAGAAAACAUGCAAUUAAGGGGAAAUAAACCCUAGGAAAAAUAUUAGGGUUUUACGGGUUCUCACACUCUCCCCCCUUAAAAGAAUUUCGUCCUCGAAAUUCCUUAUCAGCGGAAUCCCUCAAAUCUAAGGUACCCAACGGAUCAAGCAAAUGACUAGCCCAAAUUGCCUACCUAGGCUCUCAUCUCUUCCGUAUCCGGGCACAAGAAUCCCAUCUAAGAUAAUUCACAACUCGAGCCGGCCGGUCCCAAGAGUAAACCAUCCUUAUUAAAGAUUCCUACCCGACAUACAUACCUAGUUUCCUCGAGUCCCAUGAUAAUGAUUCGCACACUUAUCACAUGCCCGGUUC